AUUGAACGCUGGCGGCAUGCCUUACACAUGCAAGUCGAACGGCAGCACGGGUGCUUGCACCUGGUGGCGAGUGGCGAACGGGUGAGUAAUACAUCGGAACAUGUCCUGUAGUGGGGGAUAGCCCGGCGAAAGCCGGAUUAAUACCGCAUACGAUCUACGGAUGAAAGCGGGGGACCUUCGGGCCUCGCGCUAUAGGGUUGGCCGAUGGCUGAUUAGCUAGUUGGUGGGGUAAAGGCCUACCAAGGCGACGAUCAGUAGCUGGUCUGAGAGGACGACCAGCCACACUGGGACUGAGACACGGCCCAGACUCCUACGGGAGGCAGCAGUGGGGAAUUUUGGACAAAGGGCGAAAGCCUGAUCCAGCAAUGCCGCGUGUGUGAAGAAGGCCUUCGGGUUGUAAAGCACUUUUGUCCGGAAAGAAAUCCUUGGCCCUAAUACGGUCGGGGGAUGACGGUACCGGUAGAAUAAGCACCGGCUAACUACGUG
rnacentral:rRNA from 1 species